AUUGAACGCUGGCGGAAUGCUUUACACAUGCAAGUCGAACGGCAGCACGGGGGCAACCCUGGUGGCGAGUGGCGAACGGGUGAGUACUACAUCGGAACGUGCCCGGUCGUGGGGGAUAACGUAGCGAAAGUUACGCUAAUACCGCAUACGAUCUGAGGAUGAAAGCGGGGGACCUUCGGGCCUCGCGCGAUCGGAGCGGCCGAUGUCAGAUUAGGUAGUUGGUGGGGUAAAGGCCUACCAAGCCGACGAUCUGUAGCUGGUCUGAGAGGACGACCAGCCACACUGGGACUGAGACACGGCCCAGACUCCUACGGGAGGCAGCAGUGGGGAAUUUUGGACAAUGGGCGCAAGCCUGAUCCAGCCAUUCCGCGUGCAGGACGAAGGCCUUCGGGUUGUAAACUGCUUUUGUAUGGAACGAAAAGGCUCUGGCUAAUACCUGGGGCUCAUGACGGUACCGUAAGAAUAAGCACCGGCUAACUACGUG
rnacentral:rRNA from 1 species